AUGCCGCCACCACUCGUCGUCAAUGACGCAGUAGAUACAACGCCGCACCACCUGGCAACCUCCACACCAUCGCCACUGCUGGAGCUACUCGGAGCCCACCAUCCACAACAUCUCUCCCCCGAACAGCAGUUCCUUCCAAGACGGCGCCUCCAUGGAGGAUACGACGCGCAGGACGCCGCCGCCGCCCAAUCCAGACUGAAUUUUGGACUUUCGUCCGGGAGGGGUUCGGGGGUGGAUAGGGGGGACCUCUGCUUCGCCUCUAGGAAGGGUAACGGCGUCAAGUGA
rnacentral:rRNA from 1 species